CACGCCGCACGCGCAUUUUUUUAAUUACCGGAAGAUAUCUUCAACACCGCGACCGCGGUAGCUGCAAAGACCACUAUUCAGAGACGCUUUAAAGGAGGAGAUAAUUCCAAAUGGGAAAUAUUGCAUGCCUUCCAUUGCCUGACAGUCCCAGAGAACUGGAAAACAGCUAGCAUUCCAACAGCAGCACUCCAAGCUGUGAAGAAACUGUGCCAGUUCUACUAUAUUGAAGAUGAAGACAAAUUGCAGACAGAAUUGAAGGUCUUCCAUACGUCAUACUCAUGCCCACCACCAGCCAGUGUGUCUUCUAUUCUGUCAGUGGUCAAGGAAAACAAUGCACAUCUAGUUUUCCCCAACAUGACUCUGCUGCUGAAGACAUAUGGCACUCUUCCGGUGUCCACAGCAACUGUGGAACGUUCCUUCUCAAAACUGAAGCUUGUGAAAACCAAACUUCGCAGCCUUUGCAAAGAGGAGAGAUUGUCUGACCUUCUUCUGUUGGCCAUUGAGAAGGACAUUCCAAUAAAUGACAAUAAUGUCAUUAACAUUUUUAGGGACAUGGCCAACAGGAAAUUUCUGUUGUAAAAGUCUACAACAACUCAUCCUCCACUUAUUGCUCUUGGUGUGCAGCAGCCUCUGUGAGCAUCUCCCUCUUAUUUUCUUGGAGCAGUCAGCCUUGGCAGAUCAACUCCAGUAUUAGCAGCAGCAGCAACAACAACAACAGCAAAGGCAGUAUACUCACUCAAGGAAUUUAGUAAGAUUUUACCAGAACAGGUAUCACAUUAAUGUAAAAAAUCUGUUGUAUUUGCUGUAAAAUAAAAUUGCUGUAUUUUUUCUGUUUGUUUUUGUUUUUAUUAUAUUAAUGUAAUAUAUGUAUUACACAAUGUAUUAUAUAAACUCUUGUAUUUUUGUAAUUCAGUUUUUGCCAUCAAAAUAGCCACAAAUGCUGACAUGGCAUUAAAUAAAACUAUACUCUACUGAACGAAACAUGGGCCACGUUGAUUUUACUAUAACGUUUACUAUAGUUUUUACUAUAAUGGCUGUUCUUAAUUAUUCUGUAUAACAGAGAAGAAAAAGCCAUGAAGUUGGUACAACUUAAGACACUUCAGUUUCUAAUUAUUCUGGACAGAAAAUAUUUUUUUAACUUUUAAACUUAAAAUUUGUUUUCUGUUCCAAAACUGCAUCACAGCAUUUUCUGCCGUAUCAAUACCGAAUCAUCCGUAUCGAUACGCGAAUCAGCAAGGAAUGUGUCACGAUAUAUUACUGUAUUGAUAUUUUGAGCACCGCGCUAUUUAAAGCCUUGUUCCAUGUGCCCCUUUUAUACUUUGAGCACCUGCCCUUCCAAAGAUCUCUGCACGGCCCUGGUUUUGAGUGUGUGUGUGUGUAUACACUAGAGGCCAAAAGUUUGAGAUAAUGUAAAGAUUUUGCUCUUAUAGACAGAACUUGGUACUUUUGUUUGCCAAAUUGCUAUUCAACUGAUCACAAUGUAUAGUCAGAACAUUAUUAACGUGAAAAUUACUAUUACAAUUUGAACGCCGCAGAUGGAAUGCACAGCCACGUUCUCAGGAAACAGAAGGGAUCUCCCCCGCCCAUGGAAGCGGUUCUCCCACUCCAGGCGGUCGGCCAGGAGCCCCUCCCCGCUCGCGAUUGGCGGUCUCAUACCCCGCCGUGUUUCAGCGGCUGGCAGGGAUCUCCUCCACCCUGACUGCUGCAA